rnacentral:rRNA from 1 species
AUUGAACGCUGGCGGCAGGCCUAACACAUGUAAGUCGAGCGAGCGGCGGACGGGUGAGUAAUGUCUGGGAAACUGCCUGAUGGAGGGGGAGAACUACUGGAAACGGUAGCUAAUACCGCAUACCAUCAGAAGUGCCCAGAUGGGAUUAGCGAGUAGGUGGGGUAACGGCUCACCUAGGCGACGAUCCCUAGCUGGUCUGAGAGGAUGACCAGCAACACGGGAACGUAGACACGGUCCAGAAUCCGACGUGAGUCAGCAGGGGGGAAUAUUGCACAAUGGGCGGAAGCCUGAUGCAGCCAUGCCGCGUGUGUGAAGAAGGCCUUCGGGUUGUAAAGCACGUUCAGCGGGGAGGCGUUACCCGCCGAAGAAGCACCGGCUAACUCCGUGCCAGCAGCCGCGGUAAUAC